GAUGAACGCUGGCGGCGUGCCUAAUACAUGCAAGUCGAGCGAACAGACGAGGAGCUUGCUCCUCUGACGUUAGCGGCGGACGGGUGAGUAACACGUGGAUAACCUACCUAUAAGACUGGGAUAACUUCGGGAAACCGGAGCUAAUACCGGAUAACAUGUUGAACCGCAUGGUUCAACAGUGAAAGACGGUCUUGCUGUCACUUAUAGAUGGAUCCGCGCCGCAUUAGCUAGUUGGUAAGGUAACGGCUUACCAAGGCAACGAUGCGUAGCCGACCUGAGAGGGUGAUCGGCCACACUGGAACUGAGACACGGUCCAGACUCCUACGGGAGGCAGCAGUAGGGAAUCUUCCGCAAUGGGCGAAAUCCUGACGGAGCAACGCCGCGUGAGUGAAGAAGGUCUUCGGAUCGUAAAACUCUGUUAUUAGGGAAGAACAAAUGUGUAAGUAACUAUGCACGUCUUGACGGUACCUAAACAGAAAGCCACGGCUAACUACGUG
rnacentral:rRNA from 1 species